rnacentral:tRNA from 1 species
GCGACAGUGGCUCAGUUGGUAGAGUACGACCUUGCCAAGGUCGGGGUCGCGGGUUCGAAUCCCGUCUGUCGCUC